ensembl:lncRNA
UCUCACUUAAGAGGAAAGACUGUUCCAUCUGAAGAGGAAAUGUCUGAGAGGUGAUCUCAUAUCUUCAUGAAUAUCUAGGGUGUAAGAGUCAAGCUUAUGGGUUGAACUCUUUUCUGUGGUAUGCAGCGACAGAACAAGGGGCAGUGGUAAGAAACUGGAACCCAGGAAGUUCCACAUUAUCACAAGAAGAACUUCUUUACUGUGAGAUAGACAGUGCUUUGGAGUAGGCUGCCCAGAGAGGUUGUGGAGUGUCCUUCUCUGGAGAUAUUCAAGACUGAUCUGUACGUCUACCUAUGCAAUCUGCUGUAGGAAACAUGCUUUAGCAGAGAACAUGAAAAAAAAGACCCAAGUUGAAGAUUACUAACAAGGCUCACAAAGCCCAUGAUGACUGAAGUUGUAUGGCACAAAAUGAUCUUAGCUGGUUAGAGACUCUCACCACUGAGAAUGAUGUUUGGAAGCAGAAAGAAUACAUGUAUGAGGAAGUGAAGGGCAUGCUUGGUCACUGCCAGGAGAUCUGCCCUGGGAGAACAGGCAAGAGUCGUACUUACUUACCUUUCUUACAUGUAAUGUCUGCAUCUGCAACAAAAUAUGUUUCAUAGAUAGAGAUGAUCUAGUACCUUGCAAUGCUUGUCUCAGCAACAGGAAAUCCUUGUAACCAUUGAAAAAGUGGCCAGCUUUAAUGAUGGGAACUCAGGAACGAUCAGCA